rfam:Dipodomys ordii contig_6163, whole genome shotgun sequence.
GGUGGCUCAGUGGUAGAGCGCUUGCCUUGCGUGCAUAAGGCCCUAGGUUCAAUUCCUCAGCACCA